UAGCAUUUAUUGCGUGCUUAUCAUGUGCCA
rnacentral:piRNA from 1 species